rnacentral:rRNA from 1 species
AGAGUUUGAUCCUGGCUCAGGAUGAACGCUAGCGGGAGGCUUAAUACAUGCAAGUCGAGCGGCAAGGUCUUCGGACCCUAGAGCGGCGCACGGGUGAGUAACGCGUACGCAAUCUGCCCUUCAGUGAGGAAUAGCCCGGGGAAACUGGGAUUAAUACCUCAUAAUAUUAUUUGUCUGCAUGGAUGAAUAAUUAAAGUUCUGGCGCUGAAGGAUGACCCUACGUCGGAUUAGCUAGUUGGUAGGGUAAAAGCCUACCAAGGCGAUGAUCCGUAGCUGGUCUGAGAGGAUGAUCACCCACACUGGAACUGAGACACGGUCCACACUCCUACGGGAGGCAGCAGUGGGGAAUAUUGGACAAUGGGGGAAACCCUGAUCCAGCAAUGCCGCGUGUGUGAAGAAGGCCUGCGGGUUGUAAAGCACUUUGAGCGGGGAAGAAAAGACGCAAGUCGAAUAGGCUUGCGAGUUGACGUUACCCGCAGAACAAGCACCGGCUAACUCUGUGCCAGCAGCCGCGGUAAUACAGAGGGUGCAAGCGUUAAUCGGAAUUACUGGGCGUAAAGGGUGCGGAAGGGGGGUUUGUUUAAGUUUAAAAAGGGGAAAGCCGCCGGGCUUACGCUGAGAACUGCAUUUAAUACUGGAUAACUAGAGUAGAGUAGAAGGAGGGCGGAAUUUCCGGGGGGUAGCCGGUUGAAUUGCGUAAAAAUAUCAGAAAAAACACCGGUGGGCGGAGGGCCGGUCCUUUCUGGGCUCAUACUGACACUGAGCACGAAAGCGGUGGAGGAGCAAACAUGAUUAGAUACGCUUGUAGUCACGCAGUAACGAUGACACUAGAUGUGUUGUGGAGAGGUUCACCUUUCAAUACCGCAGCUACGCGUCAAGUCUCCGGCUGAGGAGUACGCAGUAGUCAACUCGAUGUAUAGACGGCUCGCCAGCGAUGCAGCAUGUGUUAGUUCGAUC